rfam:Vigna angularis cultivar Jingnong 6 scaffold178_76, whole genome shotgun sequence.
UAAAAGGGUCGGUUGGCUAAAUAUGCCACGUUCAUCCUAGAUUGGUGAAUGCUGUAUGGCUAUCAAGACAUAUGGCCGACAUAAUUUAUGGAACUCAAAAGGGUUGGUUCUCUUGGCCGACCCUCUA